rnacentral:tRNA from 1 species
GGGCGAUUGGUGUAGUCUGGAUAUCAUCCCGGCCUUCUAAGCCGGUGACAUGGGUUCGAAUCCUGUAUCGCCCACCA